rnacentral:tRNA from 1 species
GUUUUUGUAGUUGAAUGACAACGGUGGUUUUUCAAGCCAUUAGCCUUGGUUAGAAUCCAAGUAAAAACU